AGAGCCAUCCGCACCUGGGCUGCUGGGCUCAGCCUGCUCCCUGGAGUGAAGCCCACGCCCGUAUCUCUGUCCUGCCGACCAGCCGACCUGCCCAAAACCUGGGUGGGCAGGUCAGAGCUGCACCGAUCCCAAGGUUAAGGUUCACUCCUGGCCCCCCGCCCCCGCCAUCCAGCCGGCCGGUACUAAAGCGACCCACAGCCAUCGGCACCCCUUGGACCUUGUCAUGACCUCUACUACUGGACCUCGGAAACCUGAAACCGUCAGAUUUGUACCAAUGGCUCCCUGACCGGAUCCUGCCGUUCAAGGCCUCCUACCCCUCGGUGCAGGGAACAGCGGUCCCGACGGGCACCGUAGAGUCAGAGCUCCAACCGCAGCCCCCACCCGUCUGAGCGGUGAGGGAGCCACUCUGAGACUGCUCCCGUCUCAGGAAAACGGAGAUAAUAAUACCCAUUGCACCAGAUUACGGUAAGCAAAUGAAGUAAUGGUUAAAAAAAAAAAAAGGCUUAGUGCAGAAUGUGGUGUCUCAGGAAACAGUGGUGACGGUAAUAAUGACCCUAAUGUCCCUAAAUGAUCUCAUGCACCCUCAACAUGGCAGCUCCUACCCAUGGUCUGAUGGCUCCCAAGUGUGUAUCUUUAGUGCUGACGUCUCUGUGCUCCGGGCCAGUAGCAACGUUUAUAAAACAGCGCUCGUCACUUUCCUCCUCAAAAUUGUUCCUCGUCCCACCUUGCCAUUCACGUGAAUUGUACCAAAAUCCACCCAGUUCGUGGCCAGGUUGGGUAGCAAGGAAAGCAAAACAAAACAGGAUAAAGAAACCAAAACAAAACAAAACAACAAGACAAGACAAACCAAACGACAAAUAGAAAGCAGAUUUAGCUCACUCAUGGAAGAACUGAUCGGAAUAGGUACAAAAGAUGGUUUAGAGGCAACUGGGGGAAUUUUCCUGCGGACGAGGUGCUAGAUUAUAUGUAGGAAUUAUUGUCAAUUUUCUUGUAUAUGCUGGUUGUAGUAGAGUGGUCAUACAGGAGGCUGUCCUCGUCCCUGGAAGAUGCAGGCUGGGG